GUGCUCGCUUUGGCAGCACAUAUACUAAAAUUGGAAUGAUACAGAGAAGAUUAGCAUGGCCCCUGUGCAAGGAUGAUGCGCAAAUUUGUGAAGCGUUCCAUAUUUUU
rnacentral:snRNA from 1 species